CCCCCACCUCCCUACGGCCCCCAUGGCCCCCACCUCCCUACGGCCAGAGAGGGGGUCAGCGGUGAGGGGACAGCGUCAGACCGUACAGAAGGUACUGCUGCUCUUCUCCAGAGGCUAACACAACGUGUCUCUGGGCGUGUGUCUGAGUCUCACUGGGCAGUGUGUGACGGCACAGCCUUAUCAGUGGUUUCUGACCCCCAGACUGACAGCGAGGAGGUUUUAACCCAGUCACACAGUAUAGUGGAGAGGGAAGGGUCUCUCAGUCACCCUCAGACUGACAGCGAGGAGGUUUUAACCCAGUCACACAGUAUAGUGGAGAGGGAAGAGUCUCUCAGUCACCCUCACACUGACAGCGAGGAGGUUUUAACCCAGUCACACAGUAUAGUGGAGAGGGAAGAGUCUCUCAGUCACCCUCACACUGACAGCGAGGAGGUUUUAACCCAGUCACACAGUAUAGUGGAGAGGGAAGAGUCUCUCAGUCACCCCCAGACUGACAGCGAGGAGGUUUUAACCCAGUCACACAGUAUAGUGGAGAGGGAAGGGUCUCUCAGUCACCCUCAGACUGACAGCGAGGAGGUUUUAACCCAGUCACACAGUAUAGUGGAGAGGGAAGAGUCUCUCAGUCACCCUCACACUGACA
ensembl:lncRNA